rnacentral:rRNA from 1 species
GACGUAGGGCGCGAGCGUUGUCCGGAUUUAUUGGGCGUAAAGAGCUCGUAGGCGGUCUGUUGCGUCGGCUGUGAAAACCCGGGGCUCAACCCCGGGCCUGCAGCCGAUACGGGCAGACUAGAGUUCGGCAGGGGAGACUGGAAUUCCUGGUGUAGCGGUGAAAUGCGCAGAUAUCAGGAGGAACACCGGUGGCGAAGGCGGGUCUCUGGGCCGAUGCUGACGCUGAGGAGCGAAAGCGUGGGGAGCGAACAGG